rnacentral:siRNA from 1 species
AUCGAGUCUUUGAACGCAAGUU